rnacentral:rRNA from 1 species
GAUGAACGCUGGCGGCGUGCCUAAUACAUGCAAGUCGAGCGAACAGACGAGGAGCUUGCUCCUCUGACGUUAGCGGCGGACGGGUGAGUAACACGUGGAUAACCUACCUAUAAGACUGGGAUAACUUCGGGAAACCGGAGCUAAUACCGGAUAAUAUAUUGAACCGCAUGGUUCAAUAGUGAAAGACGGUUUUGCUGUCACUUAUAGAUGGAUCCGCGCCGCAUUAGCUAGUUGGUAAGGUAACGGCUUACCAAGGCGACGAUGCGUAGCCGACCUGAGAGGGGGAUCGGCCCAACCGGAAAGGAGACACGGGCCCGACUCCCAAGGGAGGGAAGAGGAGGGAAUCUUCCGGAAUGGGGGAAAACCUGACGGGGCAACGCCGCGGGAGGGAAGAAGGUUCUCGGAUCGGAAAACUCUUUUUUUAGGGAAAAAAAAAAGGGUAAAGAAAUAUGCACGGCUUUAAGGUACCUAAUCAGAAAGCCACGGCUAAACAAGGG